AAGUCAUAACAAGGUUUCCGUAGGUGAACCUGCGGAAGGAUCAUUAAUAGUGCCCUCUGAUGCAAAUCAUUGGGUUAGAUCUGCUCUCUUCGCAAGAAGAGGGUUUCCAUACACACCGUGAACUGUGGCUUCGGCCAUCACAAACUGUUAGUAAUGAAUGUAAUAUCAUAACAAAAACAAAACUUUUAACAACGGAUCUCUUGGCUCUC
rnacentral:misc_RNA from 3 species